rnacentral:lncRNA from 1 species
UGGAAGCGUCCAGCAGGAAGAAUUCUUUAUUAACACACACAGGAAAGCCGAGCUCUCCUUGUCGCUGGUCCUCAGCUGCAACAGAAAAGGAACCGAGAACCAGGCUGCUUGGAAACUCACCCAUCCGCAGGCGUUGUUAAGGGAACCGCUGCUUUCAUUUACACUCACGGGCUCCUCCUUUUCCUCCUCAUCUACGCCCCCACCCACCCCUUAAGGAAAAACAAAACAAAACUUAUUUCCAAGACCAACGCUAAGCAAUUCACAGGCAGCGUCAUUUCAUCAACGCGCUCCCGUUGCACUCCGGACAUUCGGCCUGGACCGUGGCCAGGGCAGUGGUGAUGGACUACCAUCUUAAGCAUCCACUCUGCGCCCACCACUCUAUCGCCACUUGACGGGGAUACUGUGUUUGUUCUCCAUGCCAAGUCCACAGGGCCGCUGUAUCCCCUCCCAUCAUAGAAGAAAGGGCGUUGAGAGCUUGGGUACCACAGGGCCAAGGUGAGUAAGGCAGCUCUUAAGCUACCUGUUCGCAUUCCUUGGUCCACUAGGAAGCAAAGGUCCAUGUCAAAGGCACCCGCAAUCCUGCCC